UCGUCGGCCACGGGGGGUAGGGGCGCCGCCGCCUCCUCCUCCGGCGCGGCCGCGGCGGCGCCGUCCUUGGCCGCCGCGCCGCCGGUCCCCUCGGAGCUGCCCUUGCUUUUCCGGCGGUUGGACUUCUUGGGCACGGCGGGAAGGUCCUGGCAGGUGGCGGCCGCGCCGUCCUCGCCGGCCGACGGCUUGUCCUUGUCCUUCUUGCGGUUCUUGCGGAUGCCCUUCUUGGCCUUGUCCUUCUUCUUGUCCUCGGCGCCCUCCGCGCCCGUGACGUCCAUGGAGGAGGUGGCGGAGCCCCGAGAGCGGUGUCGUCUCGACUUGCGCGAGCCGGGGGACGGUGGGGAGUCGCCCCCGCCGGCGUCGCCGGCCUCGCUUUUCGUGUCCCGGAAGGAGGUUUCGCCAAGGUUUCCUCCAUCCAUGACGAUCUCUGUCAGACAAAAAGAGAGAUUUCAGUCCGCCUGUUCUUUUGGCAGUUCCCACAUGAUUAAUUUCAGAGUUCGCAACGAGAGAGAGGAUCGCGGAGAUGAAGGAAUUAUUCAGGCAAGGAAGAAACAAACCUUGAGAAGCCCAGGGAUUUGCAGCAGCUGUGCCUCCACUCUCACUUCUAAAAGAGGACGAGUCCAGCGGUGCCGAGUGCUAGGUGCUCCUCCAGCAUUGUUGUUGUUAUUGGCGGCGCCAGGACCGUCCCAACCGAUAUGUGCAACAUGUUUUACAUCCGUUGGGAACCCGAUUUGCAUUUCUGGCUCCUUACCAUCUGGUUGCGACAAUUCAGUAUGAAAAGGAAUGAUGUGUCAAUGCCGGUGUCCUCCCUGGUAUGAACAAUCAGUUUUAAGGUUUUGAAUGAGCGGAGAUCAUGCAUACCCAUCAUGUUUGAGAUGUAGCGGAACGGCUUCAGGAUACCCUUCUUCAUCUUUGUGCCCAUGCUGUUUCCCCUAAGCUUUGUGUAUGUAUGUGGGUGCACGCACUCUACUUGAACUUGCAAAUUGCUGAUGGGAUCAGUCCACAAAAAUUACAGUGAAACGAUACGAUUGAACAAAAAGAAAUGAAAUGCCUACAUUCAUAUUAGGAUGUUCAAAGUA